rnacentral:rRNA from 1 species
CUUAGAGUUUGAUCCUGGCUCAGAUUGAACGCUGGCGGCAGGCCUAACACAUGCAAGUCGAACGGUAACAUUUCUAGCUUGGUAGAAGAUGACGAGUGGCGGACGGGUGAGUAAUGCUUGGGAACUUGCCUUUGCGAGGGGGAUAACAGUUGGAAACGACUGCUAAUACCGCAUAAUGUCUUCGGACCAAACGGGGCUUCGGCUCCGGCGCAAAGAGAGGCCCAAGUGAGAUUAGCUAGUUGGUAAGGUAACGGCUUACCAAGGCGACGAUCUCUAGCUGUUCUGAGAGGAAGAUCAGCCACACUGGGACUGAGACACGGCCCAGACUCCUACGGGAGGCAGCAGUGGGGAAUAUUGCACAAUGGGGGAAACCCUGAUGCAGCCAUGCCGCGUGUGUGAAGAAGGCCUUCGGGUUGUAAAGCACUUUCAGUUGUGAGGAAAAGU